GUCAACCACCCCACGGCUAAAGCCGGGGACUUACGAUGAGUAAGCCCGGGGUUGACCAGCCCGCACGAAGGCGACGGCCUUCGCGCAGCCGUUAUCCCGGUCAUGGCACCCUGGGGUGCGAGGCCAGCUCCAGGCCCUGCCGUCCGGCAUUAAACAGGCAUACGGGGUUGAAGCCAGUGUGCCGGACAUCACAAGCCGAGGUAACCGGGCGAGGCCAACGUUAC
rfam:Alicyclobacillus macrosporangiidus strain DSM 17980 genome assembly, contig: Ga0104483_123